AUAGGUGAAUAUUUCGCUGGGAUUUUAAAGAGACGAGCUUCAGCCUGCUAAGCCGCGCUCACGCCGCCUCUCCGCCCUGGCCUCCCCGCGUCCGGCUUGGGGCCGGGUCCCUCCCGGGUCAAAGCUACGCCGGGUGCACUGCGGGCUGGGCAGCUCUCCCACUACGCCCAAAGCCCAGGCGGCCGGGACCGCCGUCCCAAAGUCACAAACCACACCCGUGAAGGACGCCCUCCGCAAGACAGAGAGGAGGCUGGGCCUGGGAAGGAACCUCCGGCCCUUCCUCACCAUGCAGCCAAGCCCUGCUUUCUCUACCUCCAGUCGUUUUCUGAGGACCGGCUUGGUGGGUGCUGAUGCCUGCCUGGAAGACCUCACACCCACAGUGUCUUAGAAGAUUCUGAAAGCAGUGUGAGGUACCAGCCUGCUUUAGCGCUAGGAGCUGGCAUGGUGGGGGUCUCAGGCUGCAUCCGCACAUUCUCAGCGGUGCUUUUGCUCCUGGAAUGGAGCCACAAGCUGCUCUGGGCCAUUUAGAGACUCUAAGUGGUUUGCUCAGGGCUAUAUGGAAGUGGGAGGUGGGGGACCUGGGCGCUCUGUAGCAUGCUUAGUCCCCCUGGCAGGGUUAGAGGUUAGUUGACCAGAGACAACGAGUCCAAUUCCCAAACAGACCAGAAUGACCAGCAAAGGAGAAAAGAACAAGGACACAUUGCAGCCAAAAUGGAGCUAGAAUCUUGCCUCUGUCCAUCCUUCACUGGAGUUAUCCUGGAUGGAGAAGGAACCAUAUCACCUGCAAAGCCUGGAAGGGGAGCCCUGCUGUGAGGUGAGCCAGUAAGUCUGUGAGUUCAGGAGGGAGCACACGCUUGUCUGUCCAUCUGUUCAUGAGCAGGCGCUCUUGAGUCUUCCUAAAUAUUGCCCAGAGCUCUCCAUCCAGAUACUGUCCUUUCCCUUCCUCUCCAUUGAUGGUCUCCAAGCCUUUCUUAGCUUUCAUCUUCCCCUAAGGAUUCCUUCUCCCAAAGCUCCAGCCCAUUCCAAUGUCAACUGCAUUCGUUGUUUUUGUUACUCUCAUUGUGUCAAAUGGGUUCUUUCCUAUGCAACUAGAUUGUAGGUUGCUCCAAGGUAAACACCGUGAUUUCUAGUUCCUUUGUUUCUACCACUGCAGGACUGUAGGAAGCCCAGUUGUAGGCAUCACUAGGACUCAGUAAUUACAUAAUUGCUCAGAUAAUUGAGAGAAUGAUUGAUUGAUUAGUGGUCAUUAAUGCCAUAAAAUGAAGGAAUUUCGCCCCUCACAUUUUCAAGAACCUAUGAGUUCGAAGAGACCUGAAAGAACAUUUUUAUGGGAGCCUACACCAGUGCUAUCACCUAAAGUGCGUGACCUUAGGGAAGUUGCUUCACCCCUUGUUUCUGUGCCUCCAAAAUACUGGUGUUAAUACAGUAAUUUCUGAUUCCUUCCACCUGUGCCCUGCUCAGCGAUCCAGUGUUCAAGCUGGUCAUCAGGAGAAAGCUACUUAUGAUUUCCUAACAAGCCACCACAGAACAUCACAUUCCCAAACAUGCUCUUCACCGUCCCUGCUGUCCCCACGUGCCUAGCCCUGGUGUGGGCAGGAAUGAGUGGGAUUGGGAUGUUUUCUCACAGGUCUUUCUCAGGUGAGGCCCCAGGCUGUGACCAGGCCCCUGCCCUGCAUGUGACUCAGGCCUAGCCCCUGCUGGGGCAGGAAUGCCACCCAGCACAGCAUCCUACUGGUGCCUGAAUAAAGAAUGGACUGGAGGUUCACCUGAAAGGGGCUGCCAGGUUUCUGCGGGGGCCAGCCAACGGCUCACAAUGACCCUGUGUUCGACUCAUCUUACGAUGAAAUUUUUCAGCUUGACGAACUUUUACUCAUCUUUCAAGGCUCGGCUCAAAUGUUAUUUCCCUGGGAAAACUGCGCUACUUUCAGCAAAAUGCAUU
ensembl:lncRNA novel transcript, antisense to CD247